ACAAAACUGUAUACCUCAUUGUUUUUGACAUGCUCCCACCAACCUCCAUGACAAAUUGAGUCUCCUAGGUGUUGAGAAGGUCUACUCUUCCUAUAUGCUACAUCAAGCACCCAUUUAUAUGUUGAUCAAGAGUGUCUAGCCAGCAAGAUCUUCCUGGAAGCGGAACGCGUCAGAGAUGGCGGGUCUUCCUCAACCUCCACCAAGUAUAAAGGUGUCCAGAAACUAAUUUAUGUGAUCACCUGAAAUCCCAACUAAUAAAAGUUUAAUUAAUAAGACUUAGCUCUGUUGUUUCUAACAUAAAAACCAAUAAUGAUGUGUUUUCUCUUCUUUAUAUAUCCUACAUGCUUAUAACUGAUAUUAACGGGUUUAUGAGUUUGGAUUUUCAAAACUAGGAUGAGAAUGAGAAAGCAAACCUUCCAUGAGUUUCAGAGAUAAAAAGGAAUAGUUUGUAUUAAGAUACAACCCCGCACAAAUCAUGGACGCAUCUGUUGAAGACACAGAUGCUAGACCACUGCCACAGAACUUAAAGGAUUUAGUAGGCAGAACCUACACUUUCAAGUUAAAGCUGUUUGAAUUUCAACUUCUCUUCUAAACAUCAGUCUUUUACGAUAGCAAGAAUCUUUGAUGACAAUGAACGUCAGCCCCUGACAAACUUUCCGGAACAUAGAGGAACCAUCGCGCCGGAGCUGUGAGAACUAAGGCUUAUCAUGGUGCGACCAGAGAAGCCCCUAAGACCAACAGUGGGAUUGAUGUUGUUGGGAUGGUUGAAUGAACUGCAGCUGCCACUCCACCUUUACCUGCUCACAUGGAAUUAAUGCUGACAUGAUUCCUCUUCCUGAAGAGGUGUGCGCUGGGAAUUCCAUUGACUAACAAUCCAUUAUGCAGGCCGGUUAUUUCUCACCGUAACAUCUGGAUCACAUAUCUACUUUCACUAUAAUACAGAUGUUGGAAAAGAAUACUAUGAAAAGUUGGUUGGGGGUACCACAAACUAGACUGUCUCUUCAUCUAAGCUUCUUCAUGCACAGAAAAUAGAACCUCUCAUCGUUCUGAGCUCAACCUUAUCACAUCUGAACCUCAGAUAAUUGAGUUCCUCUGUACGCUAAAGUUACUGGAAUUCAGACAGAGAAAUGAUGGCGUUAUAUUGGUUGCUCAAAAUGUUCGAAGAAGCUCCAGCGAGAAGGCAGAGAUAUUCUGUAAUCUGAGGACAAGCAAGUAACAGCUUAGCUCUGCCCGGAAUUAACUUUCAUAGAAAAUAACAAAAUUAUACCAUCCUGACUAUCUUUCCAUACUUCACAGGCCAGAAAUCUAAAACAGAUACGCACAUAGCUACGAAAUGUUGUCUCUGAGACCCCGCAAAUGUUUGAGACAAACGACUGUUAUUAGUUUAUUUCACUAUGUAUCUCUACAGACUCAGGUUUGUAUUGACAAGCUUUUUCAUGAGAAGAACAAUAUGCAUUUACAAAAC